GCCCGUAUAGCUCAGCUGGCAGAGCGCCGCUUUCACACGGCGGAGGUUUCGAGGGUUCAAGUCCCUCUGCGGGUA
rnacentral:tRNA from 1 species